ACUCCUACGGGUGGCUGCAGUGGGGAAUAUUGCACAAUGGGCGCAAGCCUGAUGCAGCGACGCCGCGUGGGGGAUGACGGCCUUCGGGUUGUAAACUCCUUUCGCCAGGGACGAAGCGUUUUGUGACGGUACCUGGAGAAGAAGCACCGGCUAACUACGUGCCAGCAGCCGCGGUAAUACGUAGGGUGCAAGCGUUGUCCGGAAUUACUGGGCGUAAAGAGCUCGUAGGUGGUUUGUCACGUCGUCUGUGAAAUUCCACAGCUUAACUGUGGGCGUGCAGGCGAUACGGGCUGACUUGAGUACUGUAGGGGUAACUGGAAUUCCUGGUGUAGCGGUGAAAUGCGCAGAUAUCAGGAGGAACACCGAUGGCGAAGGCAGGUUACUGGGCAGUUACUGACGCUGAGGAGCGAAAGCAUGGGUAGCAAACAGGAUUAGAUACCCUGGUAGUCCAUGCCGUAAACGGUGGGCGCUAGGUGUAGGGGCCUUUUGGGGUUUCUGUGCCGUAGCUAACGCAUUAAGCGCCCCGCCUGGGGAGUACGGCCGCAAGGCUAAAACUCAAAGGAAUUGACGGGGGCCCGCACAAGCGGCGGAGCAUGUGGAUUAAUUCGAUGCAACGCGAAGAACCUUACCUGGGCUUGACAUACACCAGAUCGCUGCAGAGAUGUAGUUUCCCUUGUGGCUGGUGUACAGGUGAUGCAUGGUUGUCGUCAGCUCGUG
rnacentral:rRNA from 1 species